AAAGCGUGCGCAGGCGGCUUUGCAAGACAGAUGUGAAAUCCCCGGGCUCAACCUGGGAACUGCAUUUGUGACUGCAAGGCUAGAGUACGGUAGAGGGGGAUGGAAUUCCGCGUGUAGCAGUGAAAUGCGUAGAUAUGCGGAGGAACACCAAUGGCGAAGGCAAUCCCCUGGACCUGUACUGACGCUCAUGCACGAAAGCGUGGGGAGCAAACAGGAUUAGAUACCCCGGU
rnacentral:rRNA from 1 species